rnacentral:rRNA from 1 species
UUAAGCGACUAAGCGUACACGGUGGAUGCCCUGGCAGUCAGAGGCGAUGAAGGACGUGCUAAUCUGCGAUAAGCGUCGGUAAGGUGAUAUGAACCGUUAUAACCGGCGAUUUCCGAAUGGGGAAACCCAGUGUGUUUCGACACACUAUCAUUAACUGAAUCCAUAGGUUAAUGAGGCGAACCGGGGGAACUGAAACAUCUAAGUACCCCGAGGAAAAGAAAUCAACCGAGAUUCCCCCAGUAGCGGCGAGCGAACGGGGAGCAGCCCAGAGCCUGAAUCAGUGUGUGUGUUAGUGGAAGCGUCUGGAAAGGCGCGCGAUACAGGGUGACAGCCCCGUACACAAAAAUGCACAUGUUGUGAGCUCGAUGAGUAGGGCGGGACACGUGGUAUCCUGUCUGAAUAUGGGGGGACCAUCCUCCAAGGCUAAAUACUCCUGACUGACCGAUAGUGAACCAGUACCGUGAGGGAAAGGCGAAAAGAACCCCGGCGAGGGGAGUGAAAAAGAACCUGAAACCGUGUACGUACAAGCAGUGGGAGCACGCUUAGGCGUGUGACUGCGUACCUUUUGUAUAAUGGGUCAGCGACUUAUAUUCUGUAGCAAGGUUAACCGAAUAGGGGAGCCGAAGGGAAACCGAGUCUUAACUGGGCGUUAAGUUGCAGGGUAUAGACCCGAAACCCGGUGAUCUAGCCAUGGGCAGGUUGAAGGUUGGGUAACACUAACUGGAGGACCGAACCGACUAAUGUUGAAAAAUUAGCGGAUGACUUGUGGCUGGGGGUGAAAGGCCAAUCAAACCGGGAGAUAGCUGGUUCUCCCCGAAAGCUAUUUAGGUAGCGCCUCGUGAAUUCAUCUCCGGGGGUAGAGCACUGUUUCGGCAAGGGGGUCAUCCCGACUUACCAACCCGAUGCAAACUGCGAAUACCGGAGAAUGUUAUCACGGGAGACACACGGCGGGUGCUAACGUCCGUCGUGAAGAGGGAAACAACCCAGACCGCCAGCUAAGGUCCCAAAGUCAUGGUUAAGUGGGAAACGAUGUGGGAAGGCCCAGACAGCCAGGAUGUUGGCUUAGAAGCAGCCAUCAUUUAAAGAAAGCGUAAUAGCUCACUGGUCGAGUCGGCCUGCGCGGAAGAUGUAACGGGGCUAAACCAUGCACCGAAGCUGCGGCAGCGACGCUGAUGCGUUGUUGGGUAGGGGAGCGUUCUGUAAGCCUGCGAAGGUGUGCUGUGAGGCAUGCUGGAGGUAUCAGAAGUGCGAAUGCUGACAUAAGUAACGAUAAAGCGGGUGAAAAGCCCGCUCGCCGGAAGACCAAGGGUUCCUGUCCAACGUUAAUCGGGGCAGGGUGAGUCGACCCCUAAGGCGAGGCCGAAAGGCGUAGUCGAUGGGAAACAGGUUAAUAUUCCUGUACUUGGUGUUACUGCGAAGGGGGGACGGAGAAGGCUAUGUUGGCCGGGCGACGGUUGUCCCGGUUUAAGCGUGUAGGCUGGUUUUCCAGGCAAAUCCGGAAAAUCAAGGCUGAGGCGUGAUGACGAGGCACUACGGUGCUGAAGCAACAAAUGCCCUGCUUCCAGGAAAAGCCUCUAAGCAUCAGGUAACAUCAAAUCGUACCCCAAACCGACACAGGUGGUCAGGUAGAGAAUACCAAGGCGCUUGAGAGAACUCGGGUGAAGGAACUAGGCAAAAUGGUGCCGUAACUUCGGGAGAAGGCACGCUGAUAUGUAGGUGAAGUCCCUCGCGGAUGGAGCUGAAAUCAGUCGAAGAUACCAGCUGGCUGCAACUGUUUAUUAAAAACACAGCACUGUGCAAACACGAAAGUGGACGUAUACGGUGUGACGCCUGCCCGGUGCCGGAAGGUUAAUUGAUGGGGUUAGCCGCAAGGCGAAGCUCUUGAUCGAAGCCCCGGUAAACGGCGGCCGUAACUAUAACGGUCCUAAGGUAGCGAAAUUCCUUGUCGGGUAAGUUCCGACCUGCACGAAUGGCGUAAUGAUGGCCAGGCUGUCUCCACCCGAGACUCAGUGAAAUUGAACUCGCUGUGAAGAUGCAGUGUACCCGCGGCAAGACGGAAAGACCCCGUGAACCUUUACUAUAGCUUGACACUGAACAUUGAGCCUUGAUGUGUAGGAUAGGUGGGAGGCUUUGAAGUGUGGACGCCAGUCUGCAUGGAGCCGACCUUGAAAUACCACCCUUUAAUGUUUGAUGUUCUAACGUUGACCCGUAAUCCGGGUUGCGGACAGUGUCUGGUGGGUAGUUUGACUGGGGCGGUCUCCUCCUAAAGAGUAACGGAGGAGCACGAAGGUUGGCUAAUCCUGGUCGGACAUCAGGAGGUUAGUGCAAUGGCAUAAGCCAGCUUGACUGCGAGCGUGACGGCGCGAGCAGGUGCGAAAGCAGGUCAUAGUGAUCCGGUGGUUCUGAAUGGAAGGGCCAUCGCUCAACGGAUAAAAGGUACUCCGGGGAUAACAGGCUGAUACCGCCCAAGAGUUCAUAUCGACGGCGGUGUUUGGCACCUCGAUGUCGGCUCAUCACAUCCUGGGGCUGAAGUAGGUCCCAAGGGUAUGGCUGUUCGCCAUUUAAAGUGGUACGCGAGCUGGGUUUAGAACGUCGUGAGACAGUUCGGUCCCUAUCUGCCGUGGGCGCUGGAGAACUGAGGGGGGCUGCUCCUAGUACGAGAGGACCGGAGUGGACGCAUCACUGGUGUUCGGGUUGUCAUGCCAAUGGCACUGCCCGGUAGCUAAAUGCGGAAGAGAUAAGUGCUGAAAGCAUCUAAGCACGAAACUUGCCCCGAGAUGAGUUCUCCCUGACUCCUUGAGAGUCCUGAAGGAACGUUGAAGACGACGACGUUGAUAGGCCGGGUGUGUAAGCGCAGCGAUGCGUUGAGCUAACCGGUACUAAUGAACCGUGAGGCUUAACCUU